GUGAAGUUGAUCACAACAAACAUAUACCCCUUUGUUUGACCGUGAAAAAUUUCUCCCAUCCCCUUUGUUCGUAUUUAAAAAAAUGCCUUGCAGUUAUACUGCAAGGCAUUUUU
rnacentral:sRNA from 1 species